AUGAACGCUGGCGGCGUGCUUAACACAUGCAAGUCGAACGAUGAUCCGGUGCUUGCAUCGGGGAUUAGUGGCGAACGGGUGAGUAACACGUGAGUAACCUGCCCUUGACUCUGGGAUAAGCCUGGGAAACUGGGUCUAAUACUGGAUAUGACUCCUCAUCGCAUGGUGGGGGGUGGAAAGCUUUUGUGGUUUUGGAUGGACUCGCGGCCUAUCAGCUUGUUGGUGAGGUAAUGGCUCACCAAGGCGACGACGGGUAGCCGGCCUGAGAGGGUGACCGGCCACACUGGGACUGAGACACGGCCCAGACUCCUACGGGAGGCAGCAGUGGGGAAUAUUGCACAAUGGGCGCAAGCCUGAUGCAGCGACGCCGCGUGAGGGAUGACGGCCUUCGGGUUGUAAACCUCUUUCAGUAGGGAAGAAGCGAAAGUGACGGUACCUGCAGAAGAAGCGCCGGCUAACUACGUGCCAGCAGCCGCGGUAAUACGUAGGGCGCAAGCGUUAUCCGGAAUUAUUGGGCGUAAGAGCUCGUAGGCGGUUUGUCGCGUCUGCCGUGAAAGUCCGGGGCUCAACUCCGGAUCUGCGGUGGGUACGGGCAGGCUAGAGUGAUGUAGGGGAGACUGGAAUUCCUGGUGUAGCGGUGAAAUGCGCAGAUAUCAGGAGGAACACCGAUGGCGAAGGCAGGUCUCUGGGCAUUAACUGACGCUGAGGAGCGAAAGCAUGGGGAGCGAACAGGAUUAGAUACCCUGGUAGUCCAUGCCGUAAACGUUGGGCACUAGGUGUGGGGGACAUUCCACGUUUUCCGCGCCGUAGCUAACGCAUUAAGUGCCCCGCCUGGGGAGUACGGCCGCAAGGCUAAAACUCAAAGGAAUUGACGGGGGCCCGCACAAGCGGCGGAGCAUGCGGAUUAAUUCGAUGCAACGCGAAGAACCUUACCAAGGCUUGACAUGGACCGGACCGCCGCAGAGAUGUGGUUUCUCCUUUUGGGGCCGGUUCACAGGUGGUGCAUGGUUGUCGUCAGCUCGUGUCGUGAGAUGUUGGGUUAAGUCCCGCAACGAGCGCAACCCUCGUUCCAUGUUGCCAGCGCGUAAUGGCGGGGACUCAUGGGAGACUGCCGGGGUCAACUCGGAGGAAGGUGGGGACGACGUCAAAUCAUCAUGCCCCUUAUGUCUUGGGCUUCACGCAUGCUACAAUGGCCGGUACAAAGGGUUGCGAUACUGUGAGGUGGAGCUAAUCCCAAAAAGCCGGUCUCAGUUCGGAUUGGGGUCUGCAACUCGACCCCAUGAAGUCGGAGUCGCUAGUAAUCGCAGAUCAGCAACGCUGCGGUGAAUACGUUCCCGGGCCUUGUACACACCGCC
rnacentral:rRNA from 1 species